UCUAAAUAGCAGCACAGGAGGAACAGUUGGUUGUAAACUGAGCUCUGCACUCUUGUGGUUUGUUCUUCAUUAAACUCACACUGUGAUUAAUUUACCCCUGUAAAUUCAGUAUUAAAGCAGAGAAAUAGCUGGUAUAUUUAAAACAAGGGUAACAAAAAUAAAAUGAGCCUGUUAACCAUGUGGAUAUCGGGUGCUGUUGUUCUGCUGUUAUCGGGUUGUGCUGCGGCGCAGAUUACCUACGCUAAGGACUGGGAGGUCGCGCGCAGCAGCAGAACCCCGAUCAUUAAGUGCACCGUGGACUCCUCCACCUCCCUGAGCUCCACCACCCUCCACCUGUACAAGCAGAAGCCGGAGGGAGAUAUGCGCCGCAUCAUGCACUUCCCCGCGGGCUCUCAGUCCGCCACUCUCGAUAAGGAAACUCCCAGGCGCUUUAACGCGGUGAUCCGGGAGCAGACCGUGUCUCUCACCAUCUCGCGCGUGCAGCCGGAGGACGCCGCGGUGUAUUACUGCGCGCUGUGGAAGGGGGACACCGUGCUGAACUGCAGCAGCGGAGCAGUACACAAACCGGGGCCGCGUCCCCAAUACAGCACUGCGCACUACACCCGCACUGCACCCACUUAAUAACCCCUUACUCACUUAAUAAACCUCACUAUAUAAGA